CUAAAAGGAGAAAAUGCCAGGAUCACCUAAUGAUCCAAAGGAAAUACUGUUUGUGACUUCAAAUGGUUGGUGAUCCUCUAAGAAAUGGUUGACUUCGAGGACGAGGAAUUGUUGCAUAUAUGGCUU